UAAAAAUAAAAUAUAAAGAUAGAAACUCUCUAUUUGACUGACUAACUGACUGACCCGUUGAGUGAUUAAGGUGAGGUCUUGGGAUUGAAAUAUCAUCAAUCAAACAAGAAGAAGAAGCAAUUGAAAAAAGAAUGAUGGGGGGAGGGGAUGAUGAUGAUAUGAUGAGGAUGAUGAUGAUAAGGUGGAUAACAGAUGACCAAAUGUUAUCCAUAUUAAUGUUGUUACCGGUGGAAUCCAUAUUAUCAUUUGGGAUGAGUUGCAAGAAGGCCAGGCGUCUCACCCGCUCGAAUGCUCUUUGGAAAUCAAUCUGCUUCAGGGAUUGGGGGAUUACUCCCACUCAACACCAACACCUUCUUCUUCUUCUUCAAUCCUCCUCAGAUUCUUCUUCUUCUUCUUCUGACGCUAAUAAUUCUGGGGGGGAAUUCGAUUGGAACAGACUCUACAGGCGCCUCCGUAACCUGGAUCGAGUCUCUUGCUUUAACAUGAUACCCCUCGAUAGCAGUCCCACCCCAAGAGCUUCCCAUUCUCUCAAUUUUUUCAAAGGAUGUCUCCUCCUUUUCGGUGGUGGUUCCGAGGGAGGGCGUCAUCUUGACGACACUUGGAUUGCAUAUACAGGUAAUAAUGGGUUUUUUACGAGGACCAUUCAUUGGCAACGACUUGUAUCAUCAUCAUCAGACACCCCUAGUGGUCGUUUUGGUCAUUCUUGUGUUGUCAUAGGGGACUCUCUUGUUCUCUUUGGAGGUAUCAAUGACAGCGGCAUCCGUCAGAACGAUACAUGGGUAGCACGACACCAUACUAACGCUUUGUCUUGGACGCUACUUGAUGUCGGUCCCGUGUCACCUCCCACUCGUGGAGCCCAUGCUUGUUGUUCUCUCGAUAAUCAUACCAUGCUAAUCCAUGGAGGUAUCGGCUUAUCUGGGAUGAGACUAGGAGACACCUGGGUGUUACAUCUCUCAGACAAUCUUUCUUUUGGCACCUGGCAUCAAUCCAUCGCACACCCCUCUCCCUCGCCUCGAUCAGGACACACAUUGACCUAUAUCGGUAGUAGGACUGUUCUGUUUGGGGGAAGAGGAACAGGUUAUGAGGUUCUUAAUGAUGUCUGGUAUUUUGAUUCUUCUCAACCCCCUCAUUUUCAAUGGGUACCCGUACUGUUUGAUCUAGCCGAUAUAACUGGUGGUGCUGGGACUUCCCUCCCACGUGUUGGACAUUCGGCCACCUUGAUUCUAGGAGGGAGGGUGCUUAUUUACGGUGGAGAAGAUUCAUACAGGCACAGGAAGAAUGACUUUUGGUUGCUAGACAUCACUAGUUCAACAAGGCUGGGUCACGACCAGGGUAUGUUAUGGAGAAGGCUAAAAUGCGAUGACGGAUAUCAGCCCAGAAGCAGGUCAUUCCAUCGAGCUUGUGCAGAUGAAUCCGGAUGUUAUCUGUAUGUUUUUGGUGGAAUGGUGGAUGGGGUCCUCCAGCCUGCUCAACCUACGGGACUCAGGUUUGAUGGAGAACUUUUUUCCGUAAAGCUUCUACUGUAAAACAACUGGUACUAACCGAUAGCCACCUGGUAUGGUGAGUCGUGGUUUUGAUCUUGGAUCUUCCAGAAUUAGCUUGACCACAGACAAUUAUGACUACUUGAAAACAGGGGAUACGUUAGCUGUUGAUGGUAAAUGAUGUUUCUAUGAGGUGAGAGGUUGUCUCAUCGCGGGCCCCAAGUCGACCAUUGAUCAUCGGCUUCUAAACGUAAUGUUGGAUGGUGGUGGAAAAAGGUGAAUCUCUCAUGUGUAUAAACUCAACUUGAAGGGGGUAGGAAGGUGGCCACAUCACUACAUCUUAACUUGUUGCUGGAUUAUAGGGUAAUGAUAUUCGUACCACAUAUUUUGGUAAAUUUACCACACAGUACAACUUUCUGAACACAAUGUACAAGUUCUUAAAACACAUGUGUGAUAUAUUUAUCACAACCUGUGGUACCAAUAUUACUUCCCAUAUAAUAUAUGUACGCUGACAGUUGCCGACGGAGGAAGCAGCCACAAGUGCGAGUGAGUGUAGGGUACCUGCUUUCAGUAUGUGGCUGCUGGUUGCCUGUCUGUAAGGCCAGUGUGGUCCUUAUUUCUACAUCAUUGCAUUCAUAAUCAUCUCCUUUUGCCAACAAAAUAUCAAGGGCCCCUCUUCAAAUUAUACUAUACUCCUACAACACAGUUGACACAGUGGUCCUAUUGUGGACAUGGCCCUGUAAUUUCUUUCUCAGGCGACAUUGUUUCCUCUAAUCCAUAUGAGUCAUUGCCAUAGUUGACAUUAGAUGUUUACCGUGCACACAAUAUUCAGGUCUAUGUAUAUUUGUAUCCAUAUAUGGUCUUGAGUAACCAUUGUCCACUAUGGUUAAGCUUAUCAUUGCUAACUAACAAUCAUUAUAUGAACCCCUACACUUUGCAUGUUUAUAAAAAAGAUAUUUCAUAAUUAGUCAUCA